rnacentral:rRNA from 1 species
CCUAACACAUGCAAGUCGAACGGUAACAGGAAGAAGCUUGCUUCUUUGCUGACGAGUGGCGGACGGGUGAGUAAUGUCUGGGAAACUGCCUGAUGGAGGGGGAUAACUACUGGAAACGGUAGCUAAUACCGCAUAACGUCGCAAGACCAAAGAGGGGGACCUUCGGGCCUCUUGCCAUCGGAUGUGCCCAGAUGGGAUUAGCUAGUAGGUGGGGUAACGGCUCACCUAGGCGACGAUCCCUAGCUGGUCUGAGAGGAUGACCAGCCACACUGGAACUGAGACACGGUCCAGACUCCUACGGGAGGCAGCAGUGGGGAAUAUUGCACAAUGGGCGCAAGCCUGAUGCAGCCAUGCCGCGUGUAUGAAGAAGGCCUUCGGGUUGUAAAUACU